GCCCCGGGACGACCCGGUGCCCGCACUGACGCUCGGGGACGGCCCCU
rnacentral:ncRNA from 1 species